rnacentral:lncRNA from 1 species
UUUCUCAUAAGUCGAGGAAACAACCCCACAUAAAGUAAUCUUUUGAUGGCUUAGUGCGAAGUGUUGUAUCUUCAUUCCCGUGUUUCAAAAGUUGCGCUACUCAUUUAUUUUUUCGAAGAGAAGCAAGCCAAUUUCAUAGCUUGAACUUUGUACAGAAUAUUUAGCGAGGUACUGCUUAAAGAGGAAAAAAAUCAAGGAAGUUCCCCAGAAAUUACGUUGACUAGUUUUCGAAAGAUAAUUUAAAGUAUGACAGGUAGCUAUUUUCUAUUUCUCUGCAAAGCUCACAUUCCUCUAAUCACUCUUUAUCGAAUAUUUGUCAUCUCUUUAAUUUUACCAUUUCACUAUUUUUCUAGGGUCUGCUCAAGUAUCUGUCUCUGACUGUAAAGUGAAAUACUACAAUGCUCAUCAAACAAAGUCCAUGAUCUUCUCAGACUUCAUGAAUUACUGGGAAAAAUACUCAAGUGAUUGUUGGCCUACAAAUGAAGCAUGUUUGUACCUGAAGGAUUGGCAUUUGAUGAAGAAUUUUCCCACAGAAUCAGUUUAUGUUUGUGCCUUAUCAGUUUUCGUCCGAUUGGUUAAAUGAGUAUUAUAUGGAUCAUCCUCAUUUGGACGAUGACUAUAGAUUUGUGUACAUGGGCCCCAAAGCACCUGGUAUGUUGAAUUGAAACUUGUAUUUACUAUAGUUAAAACAGGUAACUAGGCAAAUGAAAAAAUAUAAAAAAAAGUUCAGAAGCUUUGGUGUUUUGGAGCUUAUGAAUGAAGUUUUUAAGUAAAUUAUUUACCUACAAAGUCCACCUUGAGACAAGUUGUGCUGAUGUCAUUCUUAACUGGACAUUCAUGUAGUAGCAGCUGUAUUAAGUAAAACUGAAGAGAUUAACUGUCAUUCUCGUUCCAAUUUUGCCAAAACUUUGUUCACUUCAUUCAUUGGAUGUCUCAGUGGAAGGAAGUUAAUUUCAGUUCCAGUAAAAAAUUUUGUGGAUACUGUCAUGCAUUCUAUGCGAAGUUGAUUUUCAUUGAACUUUUCCUAGGCAAAUUCAAAGUUUUCAGUAGAGGUUGAUACAGUGUUUAGUAAGUAAAGACAUAUUCAAACCUAGAUGCUUGGUGGCUUAGGCUUGUACUCUAUUUGCUUUUUAGGAAUCUGGGGGUAUGGUCUUCUAAUAGGAUGGAAAAAUGUGGAAGUUGGAAAGAACUGUUGGUGACAUUUUAAAACAGUGCCUUGAAAUUUUUUAUUUUUGCAAGGAACAAGUAGGCUUUCUUGCAACAUAAUGAUUACAUUUUUGUAAAUCUAGGAAGGUAGAGCAAUGGCUGAAAUAUAUUUUUGCUGGUAUUGCAUUCCAAUUUUCAGUUUAAUUUCAGGAAGUCAAUCCCUUAUUUUAAAUGGAAUUUAAGUUUCAAAUUGAAUUGUUUUCCCUCUUCAACAUUUAGAAUGGCCCUGAAUGAUGGCCGCAGCAUUAACACCUCAAAACUGCUGAACAAAAAUUAAGGGUUGAUU